rnacentral:rRNA from 1 species
UACGGAGGGGGCUAGCGUUGUUCGGAAUUACUGGGCGUAAAGCGCACGUAGGCGGCUUUGCAAGUUAGAGGUGAAAGCCCAGGGCUUAACCCUGGAAUUGCCUUUAAGACUGCAUCGCUAGAAUCGUGGAGAGGUAAGUGGAAUUCCGAGUGUAGAGGUGAAAUUCGUAGAUAUUCGGAAGAACACCAGUGGCGAAGGCGACUUACUGGACACGUAUUGACGCUGAGGUGCGAAAGCGUGGGGAGCAAACAGGGAUUAAGAAACCC